GCACAAGCGGUGGAGCAUGUGGUUUAAUUCGACGCAACGCGAAGAACCUUACCUACUCUUGACAUCUACGGAAGUUGGCAGAGAUGCUGAUGUGCCUUUGGGAACCGUAAGACAGGUGCUGCAUGGCUGUCGUCAGCUCGUGUUGUGAAAUGUUGGGUUAAGUCCCGCAACGAGCGCAAUCCCUAUCCUUAGUUGCCAGCGAGUCAUGUCGGGAACUCUAGGGAGACUGCCGGUGAUAAACCGGAGGAAGGUGGGGAUGACGUCAAGUCAUCAUGGCCCUUACGAGUAGGGCUACACACGUGCUACAAUGGUACGUACAGAGGGAGGCAAGCUGGCGACAGUGAGCGGAUCUCUUAAAGCGUAUCGUAGUCCGGAUCGCAGUCUGCAACUCGACUGCGUGAAGUCGGAAUCGCUAGUAAUCGCAUAUCAGAAUGGUGCCGUGAAUACCUUCCCGGGC
rnacentral:rRNA from 1 species